rnacentral:rRNA from 1 species
UACGGGGGGGGCAAGCGUUGUUCGGAAUUACUGGGCGUAAAGGGCGUGUAGGCGGCCCGGUAAGUCCGCCGUGAAAGUCCAGGGCUCAACCCUGGAAUGCCGGUGGAUACUGUCGGGCUAGAGUCCGGAAGGGGCGAGUGGAAUUCCUGGUGUAGCGGUGAAAUGCGUAGAUAUGCGGAGGAACACCGAUGGCGAAGGCAAUCCCCUGGGCCUGCACUGACGCUCAUGCACGAAAGCGUGGGGAGCAAACAGG